AACAUCUAAGUACCCCGAGGAAAAGAAAUCAACCGAGAUUCCGAAAGUAGCGGCGAGCGAAAUUGGACUAGCCCUUAAGCUUUACACGCGUUAGACGAACGGUCUGGAAAGUCCGACGAUACAGGGUGAUAGUCCCGUAGUUGACGACGUGUGUUCAGUGAAAUCGAGUAGGGCGGGACACGUGAUAUCCUGUCUGAAUAUGGGGGGACCAUCCUCCAAGGCUAAAUACUACUGACUGACCGAUAGUGAACCAGUACCGUGAGGGAAAGGCGAAAAGAACCCCUGUGAGGGGAGUGAAAUAGAACCUGAAACCGUGUACGUACAAGCAGUAGGAGCAGGCUUGUCCUGUGACUGCGUACCUUUUGUAUAAUGGGUCAGCGACUUAUAUUCAGUGGCAAGGUUAACCAUCUAGGGGAGCCGUAGGGAAACCGAGUCUUAACUGGGCGUUCAGUCUCUGGAUAUAGACCCGAAACCAGGUGAUCUAGCCAUGGGCAGGUUGAAGGUUGAGUAACAUCAACUGGAGGACCGAACCGACUAAUGUUGAAAAAUUAGCGGAUGACUUGUGGCUAGGGGUGAAAGGCCAAUCAAACCUGGAGAUAGCUGGUUCUCCCCGAAAGCUAUUUAGGUAGCGCCUCGGACGAAUACUACUGGGGGUAGAGCACUGUUAAGGCUAGGGGGUCAUCCCGACUUACCAACCCUUUGCAAACUCCGAAUACCAGUAAGUACUAUCCGGGAGACACACGGCGGGUGCUAACGUCCGUCGUGGAGAGGGAAACAACCCAGACCGCCAGCUAAGGUCCCAAAUUACUACUAAGUGGGAAACGAUGUGGGAAGGCUCAGACAGCCAGGAUGUUGGCUUAGAAGCAGCCAUCAUUUAAAGAAAGCGUAAUAGCUCACUGGUCGAGUCGGCCUGCGCGGAAGAUGUAACGGGGCUAAGUAGUAAACC
rnacentral:rRNA from 1 species